rnacentral:rRNA from 1 species
GUCCACGCCGUAAAACGAUGUCAACUAGCAGUUGGGAGCCUUGAGCUCUUAGUGGCGCAGCUAACGCAUUAAGUUGACCGCCUGGGGAGUACGGCCGCAAAGGUUAAAACUCAAAUGAAUUGACGGGGGCCCGCACAAGCGGUGGAGCAUGUGGUUUAAUUCGAAGCAACGCGAAGAACCUUACCAGGCCUUGACAUCCAAUGAACUUUCCAGAGAUGGAUUGGUGCCUUCGGGAACAUUGAGACAGGUGCUGCAUGGCUGUCGU